AGAGUUUGAUCCUGGCUCAGGAUGAACGCUGGCGGCGUGCCUAACACAUGCAAGUCGAACGGACUUUUCAUGAAGCCUAGCGAUUGAAAAGUUAGUGGCGGACGGGUGAGUAACGCGUGGGUAACCUGCCUUGUACUGGGGGACAACAGUUGGAAACGACUGCUAAUACCGCAUAAGCGCACAGCUUCGCAUGAAGCAGUGUGAAAAACUCCGGUGGUACAAGAUGGACCCGCGUCUGAUUAGCUGGUUGGUGAGGUAACGGCCCACCAAGGCGACGAUCAGUAGCCGGCCUGAGAGGGUGAACGGCCACAUUGGGACUGAGACACGGCCCAAACUCCUACGGGAGGCAGCAGUGGGGAAUAUUGCACAAUGGGGGAAACCCUGAUGCAGCGACGCCGCGUGAGUGAAGAAGUAUUUCGGUAUGUAAAGCUCUAUCAGCAGGGAAGAAAAUGACGGUACCUGACUAAGAAGCCCCGGCUAACUACGUGCCAGCAGCCGCGGUAAUACGUAGGGGGCAAGCGUUAUCCGGAAUUACUGGGUGUAAAGGGUGCGUAGGUGGUAUGGCAAGUCAGAAGUGAAAACCCAGGGCUUAACUCUGGGACUGCUUUUGAAACUGUCAGACUGGAGUGCAGGAGAGGUAAGCGGAAUUCCUAGUGUAGCGGUGAAAUGCGUAGAUAUUAGGAGGAACACCAGUGGCGAAGGCGGCUUACUGGACGGUAACUGACGUUGAGGCUCGAAAGCGUGGGGAGCAAACAGGAUUAGAUACCCUGGUAGUCCACGCCGUAAACG
rnacentral:rRNA from 1 species